GGAAGCUACACUAGUCCUAGACCAAAAAUGUGAAAAAUGCAGGUGACCCCGGUGCACGCCCUGGGCGCUGGCAUCAGCCCGAUGCAGGGCCUGGUGAUGGCGGUGAUCCUCACCUUCUCACUGCUCUUCGUCACCUACGCCAUGAUCCUGGACCCGCGGAGCCAGGUCCGCACCAUCGGCCCGCUGCUGACGGGGCUCAUAGUCGGCGCCAACAGCCUCGCCGGCGGCAACUUCACCGGCGCGUCCAUGAACCCGGCGCGGUCCUUCGGUCCCGCCAUGGCCACCGGGGUCUGGACCAACCACUGGGUCUACUG